CAACCUCAACUCAUAUGGGACUACCCCCUGAAUUUAAGCAUAUUAAUUAGGGGAGGAAAAGAAACUAACAAGGAUUUUCUUAGUAGCGGCGAGCGAAAAGAAAACAGUUCAGCACUAAGUCACUUUGUCUAUAUGGCAAAUGUGAGAUGCAGUGUAUGGAGCGUCAAUAUUCUAGUAUGAGAAAUUAAUGAUUUAAGUCCUUCUUAAAUGAGGGCCAUUUACCCAUAGAGGGUGCCAGGCCCGUAUAACGUUAAUGAUUGCUAGAUGAUGUUUCCAAAGAGUCGUGUUGCUUGAUAGUGCAGCACUAAGUGGGUGGUAAACUCCAUCUAAAACUAAAUAUAACCCAUGAGACCGAUAGUAAACAAGUACCGUGAGGGAAAGUUGAAAAGAACUCUGGAAUAGAGAGUUAAACAGUACGUGAAAACUGCUUAGAGGUUAAGCCCGAUGAACCUGGAAUAUUCCGUUUAUGGAAAAUU
rnacentral:ncRNA from 1 species